CAUGUAGGCGGUCUGUCAAGUCUGAUGUGAAAGCCCGGGGCUCAACCCCGGAAGUGCAUUGGAAACUGGCAGACUUGAGUACGGGAGAGGAAAGUGGAAUUUCGAGUGUAGGGGUGAAAUCCGUAGAUAUUCGAAGGAACACCAGUGGCGAAGGCGGCUUUCUGGACCGAUACUGACGCUGAGAUGCGAAAGCGUGGGGAGCAAACAGGAUUAGAUACCCUGGUAGUC
rnacentral:rRNA from 1 species